ensembl:lncRNA
UUCGCAGGCAAGAUGAAGUUCAUACAGAUUUUGGCUUUGUGAUGGCAGCUUAGCCUUUGUAAGCAGGCUGAUGAUACAUUAUUUGAGCAUCAUCAGAACAGGAUCCUGGACAGCUGAUACUCUUCUUGAUGAAUAAUCCUAUGGAAAAAUUCCUAGAGGAUAAUUCAUGACAGGAUUGCAAUACAGUGAGGAAAGGAAUAUCUUUGAUGAAGAGACAGAAGUGGAUUUUUGAAUCUCUAAUGGAUGUAGGAUGCCUACUUUUGACCUGCCGUCUUGACUAUAUGCACCAUUGCCCUCUACUGGCCACGAGCAGAGCUAUGAUGGGUCCUUCCAGGGGCAAAGCAGCUCACCUUCCAGAAGAUACUUCAGCUGUGUGAAGAUAACAGCUGAACCGAGAUGCCUUCUUUACUCUCAGAAAGGAGCUGGGGAUUUGCAGUAGCACAAAGUUAAGGACAGCUGCCUCUCUCAUCUCCGCUCCACUUGAAACCAUCAGGCUCUGCGCUCCCUACUGCAACAAUCUUUUCAUCCAAUCUGAUGAUAAGUAUUAGAUGUAAGAUAUCUCACCAGUGGGAAAACCCCUGCCCAUGUCUUGGGGAAUAAGGGGGUUCUGGUAGUGCACUGCUGCUGGGAUGGCUCCUAUAACAUCACCUAAUCAACCCCAUCAACUUUUGGCUGUCUGAACAACAUCAAGUUGCUGGGAACUAGGCCAGUGGCUGAACCACUGAAGGUGAGGGGUGGACCAGCAACAUGUGCUCCUGACCUCUCAGCUUAAUGAGAAGCAGUUCAGAUAUGAUUCAUAGUCUGUAUAUCUAUGGAGAUGGAGCUGGUCUGUGGAAUUCAUGGCUCUAACUAUGUACAACUAUGUGAUUUCACUUGUAUCCCUAGUUUUGAUCACAAACUCCCUGGUAAGAAAUUGGCUAAAGAUAUAUGGCUGCGAUGGCUCAUGGGGUGCAUAAAAGGAGACAAACACAAAAUGGGCAACAGUACUGCUGAAAAGGAGGUCUAAGGUAUGAUGUCAGAAACAGUUUUAUGCUUUACUGUGGCUCUAAUUUCACCCUGCAGAGUGAAAGGAGAGCAACUGGUGUUGGGUUAUCCUGUAACCAAUCUAACACGCUUGAGAGUUCUCCUCAUCUCACCCUACGUGCUUUGCUCCUGCUAUGCUUUUCCAGUGAAACAGUGUGAGAGUAUUGCUUCUUCAAAUCUACUGAAAACUACAGAAUCUACUCUGCAUUGUUAUUGGAUGACUUUAUUGAAGAUGUAGGUCAGCCUCACAAAUUUCCUUUGUGCACUGGGAGCUAAAAUGAGCUAACCUUCUGUCAAGCAAUGAAUUCCGGUACAUUUUUUCCACUUUUGCAAACAUUAGACUGUUUGAGUGAAUCAAGUACUUAACAUGGCAUGAUGAGGAGGAACUCUGGGGAAAAGCUAGUGAGCUCAUAGUCCAAAACUGAUGCAGUCACAGUUUUCAAAGAAAAAGAAAGAAAAAAAGCCCUCAAAUUUUCCACUAUAAUAAAAACAGAAGCAAGUGCUAGAAUAAGUAAGUUUUGACAUCCAUUGUUCAGAGUCACGAGAGUGUUAUUUCUUCUUAUAUAGCAAAGCAGCGGUUAAUUCACAGCUCCUGGGAUUUUUUUUCAAGCAUAAAUCACUACAGGGUUUUUUUUUCCCAAUAUCAAUCAGUGGUUUGUAAAAAUCUGCAGGGAGAAAUAAACCAUACAAGCUGGCAAGUAGUUUUAAAUGCCACUAAAACAACCGUGGUAGUUAUAAACAGUAAACAAAACAUGGUAACCAAUUUAAACACUAGAGAUUGUUGUAUCAUAGGAGCAUAAAUCAUUAACUUAAUAAUUUCAGCAGCAGCGACUCAAAUACAAAAUUAAGCCAACAGUACCCCCUGUGGCAAUAAUGAAGUACUGAAUAUCAUACAGAAAACAACUGACACAACUGGUGAUUGCAGCAUGGAGAUCCUCUGAAGGAGAACCUUGGAAGAGAGACCUCCAACUGACUUCAGCACAAAUGGCUUCUCUGUUCAAACAUGUUCAAAUGUAUUAUUGUAAACACAAUCCUGAGCCGACAAGCAAUGGAGAUGAGGCUAGAGGUAUUUAAGAAAGAGAU